UAUCCGAUAUGAAAAAUUCAUCAUUAAUAAUAUAUUAAUUAAAUUUAAUAUAUGAAUAGUGUGCAAUUUUUUCAUAAUAGGACAUUGUAAUCUAUUAAUCUUUAUAUAAAAAUUUAUCAUAAGGUCUGUAUAAAUAGAUUAUUUUUAAUUUAACUUUUUUUUUAAAAAAGUUAAUGGAAUAAAAUUUAAAGCAGUACCAGAUAAAUGAUUGAUAGAUUUUUUCAUAUAUAACGCUUACAUUAUAUAUGUUAUAAUAUUUUAAUAACUAUAUGUUAUUAUUAUUUAUUAUAUGCGUUUAUAUGAUUAACAAUGCGAUAGAUUUAGGAUACCUUCGGGACCCGUCUUGAAACACGGACCAAGAAGUCUAACAUAUGUGCAAGUCAUUGGGUAUAUAAAACCUAAAGGCAUAAUUAACUUAACUGUUAUUAAUGGGAUUAUUAUGUAUUUAUAUUAAAAUACAAAAUCCAUCCCGGGGCGUUCUAUACAGUUAUGUAUUUUGAUAUUUAUAUCAUAUAUACCUCUAACUAGAGCGUACCUUGAGCAUAUAUGUUGUGACCCGAA
rnacentral:rRNA from 1 species